rnacentral:rRNA from 1 species
AGUGAACGCUGGCGGUAGGCCUAACACAUGCAAGUCGAACGGCAGCACAGGAGAGCUUGCUCUCUGGGUGGCGAGUGGCGGACGGGUGAGGAAUACAUCGGAAUCUAAUCUGUCGUGGGGGAUAACGUAGGGAAACUUACGCUAAUACCGCAUACGACCUAAGGGGGAAAGCAGGGGAACUUCGGACCUUGCGGGGUUGAAUGAGCCGAUGUCGGAUUAGCUAGUUGGCGGGGUAAAGGCCCACCAAGGAGACGAUCCGUAGCUGGUCUGAGAGGAUGAUCAGCUACACUGGAACUGAGACACGGUCCAGACUCCUACGGGAGGCAGAAGUGGGGAAUAUUGGACAAUGGGCGCAAGCCUGAGCCAGCCAUACCGCGUGGGUGAAGAAGGCCUUCGGGUUGUAAGCCCUUUUGUUGGGAAAGAAAUCCAGCUGGCUAAUACCCGGUUGGGAUGACGGUACCCAAAGAAUAAGCACCGGCUAACUUCGUGCCAGCCGCCGCAGUAA